GUCUUAAUAAGUCAGGAAUACUUUUAGGAGAUACCAGGGAUGAAUUGGGCAGGCACAGGUUUCACCAGUUGCCCCCGGUGGAUUACAUAAAAGGGAUAUGGGUGAAAUGGUACCAAGAUACGAUUAUUUACACUUAUGGUAAGGGAAUCGACAGCCUAUCAGAAACGGCAGUAUCUUUCCACGACAUAAAAGAUGAAUCUCAUCUCUACCUCAUCGAGUUUUUCAUCUACAGACUACAGCUCUUUGGCGUCAGUGGCAGAUUCAAAGGACCUCAGAUAGCGCCUCUCCCACCUGAUAUCAGUGCUAUUCCCGUGCAGGUCCUGAAGCGGUUCAGAGGGCGAAGGCGAACGAGAGUCGAAGUAAGAGAGAGGAAAGAAGCUCAGGAAGUCCACCGUCAUGAAAUGAAUUCGUGAAAACACUUUCUGAUUCCAUCUUUGUCAGUAAAGUGCUGUUAAGUGUGUUAGUAUUAAUGAUGAUAAAAGCAACGACCCCGAUGAUGACGAAAGUAUAUAUUUCUAUGAUAAAUCAUGAUACAAGAAUGCUUAAAAUAUCGUUAUUAUUGUCUUUAACUUCAGUGAUGUAUUUACUGUGUCGUUAUUAUAAUUAAUUAUUCAUUAUUUGUAUUGUAAUCUAUUGCAGUCGUAGCACUGGCUUUAGUACCAGUGUAAAUGAUCUGAGAUGGACAUAUUGGAAAAGUGAGACAAAGUAAAACAUUUAUUUGCAUCCUAUUGAGAGGCAAAGUAUGUUGUUCUAAUGUCACGAUCCUUUCAGAUCACGCUUACCAUUUAAUUUGACUUUAUGUAAUUUAGGCUCUCGAGCCAAGCACUGGGGCACUUUCGGUCACUUUCAGCGCUCAAGACAAUGAAAACAGAGAGUUGGAGUGGUUGAACAGCACAGUUAAGAGACCCAGAAUAAUCAGAUGACCUACAAGGGUCCUCAGGUGGCAUUAGGACGACAACCUCCCUGUUACACAAGGAAAUAAUAGUUUGAGAGGUUGGACAGCAAGAGUGGUGAAAGGAAAUUAUAUGGAGGCAAAGGAAAAGGCUACAGAGUGAAGGCAUCUAUGGAAUAGGUUUGUUUUGUUGUUUGUAUGGUGUUUUUACGUUGCAUGGAUCCAGUAGUUAUUCAGCAACUGGACCAACGGCUUUACAUGACUUCCGAACCACGUCGAGAGUGAACUUCUAUCACCAGGAAUACACAUAUCUAUCACUCCUCAGUAGAAUGCCCGAGAAUCGAACUCGCAGCCCCCCGAGAUGGCAGGCCAAUACCAUACCGACCGCGCCACUGAGGUACUGUGCUAUGGGAUGGGUCCCUUGCAAUUCAUUUGAAAGUCAUGGGUUCGAUUCUAGUGUGGAUUCGAAAUGUAUUGCUUGUUGGUUAGUUGCAUUAUUAUCAAUAUUACUCUUAUGAUUAUUGUUCUUUUGAAACAACCCCCCACCAGACUUUAUCUUUACAAUUGAAGCUUCCAAAGAGCUGUAUGUUCAAAUCAAUGGAAUGAGAGAAAGAACUAAAAACUGACUGAAUAUAAUAAAAACAAAUGA